rnacentral:rRNA from 1 species
CUGGAAUAAUACGCCGAAAGGGGUACUAAUACCGGAUAUUCUUGCUUUAUAUAAGUUUUGCAAGCAAAGGUGGCCUCUGACAUAAGCUACUGCAUGAAGAGGGGUCUGCGUACCAUUAGCUUGUAGGUGGGGUAAUGGCCUACCUAGGCAACGAUGGUUAGCGGGUCUGAGAGGAUGAUCCGCCACACUGGCACUGGAACACGGGCCAGACUCCUACGGGAGGCAGCAGUGAGGAAUAUUGCGCAAUGGGGGCAACCCUGACGCAGCGACGCCGCGUGAGUGAGGAAGGCCUUCGGGUCGUAAAGCUCUGUCAAAGGGAAAGAAAUGUAUAAUGGCUAAUACCUGUUAUAUUUGACGGUACCCUUAAAGGAAGCACCGGCUAACUCCGUGCCAGCAGCCGCGGUAAUACGGAGGGUGCAAGCGUUGUUCGGAAUUACUGGGCGUAAAGGGCGCGUAGGCGGUUUGAUAAGUCAGAUGUGAAAGCCCACGGCUUAACUGUGGAAGUGCAUUUGAUACUGUCAGACUUGAGUACCAGAGGGGAAAGUGGAAUUCCCGGUGUAGAGGUGAAAUUCGUAGAUAUCGGGAGGAAUACCGGUGGCGAAGGCGACUUUCUGGCUGGAUACUGACGCUGA